CGUGUAGGCGGUCGGUCAAGUCCGAUGUGAAAGCCCGGGGCUUACCUCCGGAAGUGCAUCGGAAACUAGCCGGCUGGAGCGCGAUAGAGGAGGGUAGAAUUCCUGGUGUAGCGGUGAAAUGCGUAGAUAUCAGGAGGAAUACCGGCGGCGAAGGCGGCCCUCUGGAUCGUUGCUGACGCUGAGACGCGAAAGCGUGGGGAGCAAACAGGAUUAGAUACCCUGGUAGUCCACGCUGUAAACGAUGGGUACUAGGUGUUCGGGGUAUUGACCCCCUGAGUGCCGCAGCUAACGCAUUAAGUACCCCGCUGGGACUACGGCCGACAAGGUUAAA
rnacentral:rRNA from 1 species